rnacentral:rRNA from 1 species
GGACGAACGGCUGGCGGCGUGCCUAAUACAUGCAAGUCGAACGGUCUUUCUAUGGAAGCUUGCUUCCACUGAGAAGAUAGUGGCGAACGGGUGAGUAACACGUGGGGUAACCUGCCCAUAAGAGGGGGGAUAACAUCCGGAAACGGGUGCUAAUACCGCAUAGUUUUCUUGAUUGCAUGAUUGAGAAAGGAAAGACGGCCUUUGUGCUGUCGCUUAUGGAUGGACCCGCGGCGUAUUAGUUAGUUGGUGAGGUAACGGCUCACCAAGACGAUGAUACGUAGCCGACCUGAGAGGGUGAUCGGCCACAUUGGGACUGAGACACGGCCCAAACUCCUACGGGAGGCAGCAGUAGGGAAUCUUCCGCAAUGGACGAAAGUCUGACGGAGCAACGCCGCGUGAGUGAAGAAAGGGUUUUCGGAUCGUAAAACUCUGUUGUCAGAGAAGAACAAGUUGGAGAGUAACUGCUCCAGCCUUGACGGUAUCUGACCAGAAAGCCACGGCUAACUACGUGCCAGCCGCGGC